AGAGUUUCAAGGUCAAAACGUCAUUCUUGCUUGCAAGAUAAGACGUUUGAACUUGAAACCCGCUAAACAUGAGGAAGUAGCUAUUUACGCAGUAAAUACGCGGAUUACGAAUGUUUACAUCGAUUUCGGGAGUGCCAGCGGCACGUAGAAAUCGAU
rnacentral:sRNA from 1 species